CAGACAUCUCCCAAAUUGGUACAGAAUAAUUUAGGAGGGAAAGUGGAAGAGUUCUGUUGUGAAGAAUGCAUGUCCAAAUAUACAGUUUUGUUCUAUCAGAUGGCCAAAUGUGAUGCUUGUAAGCGACAGGGUAAACUCAGUGAGUCCUUGAAAUGGCGAGGGGAAAUGAAACAUUUCUGUAACCUGCUUUGUAUCUUGAUGUUCUGUAAUCAGCAAAGUGUAUGUGACCCGCCUUCACAAAAUAAUGCAGCAAAUAUUUCCAUGGUUCAAGCUGCUUCAGCAGGACCCCCAUCUCUGAGAAAAGAUUCGACUCCAGUUAUAGCCAAUGUAGUAUCAUUGGCAAGUGCCCCUGCUGCUCAGCCUACAGUGAAUUCUAACAGUGUCUUACAAGGUGCAGUUCCAACAGUAACAGCGAAAAUCAUCGGUGAUGCAAGUACUCAAACAGAUGCCCUGAAACUGCCACCUUCCCAACCUCCAAGGCUUUUGAAGAACAAAGCUUUAUUAUGCAAACCCAUCACACAGACUAAAGCCACCUCUUGCAAACCACAUACC
rnacentral:lncRNA from 1 species